rnacentral:rRNA from 1 species
AGAGUUUGAUCCUGGCUCAGAACGAACGCUGGCGGCGUGCUUAACACAUGCAAGUCGAACGCGAACGAGUUCUUCGGAACUUUAGUAGAGUGGCGCACGGGUGAGUAACGCGUAAGUUAUCUACCCUCCCAUCUGGAAUAACUCACCGAAAGGUGUGCUAAUACCGGAUACGUUGAUUUAUCAAGAAAGGUGGCCUCUAUUUAUAAGCUACCGUGGGGGGAUGAGCUUGCGUACCAUUAGCUAGUUGGUAGGGUAAUGGCCUACCAAGGCAACGAUGGUUAGCGGGUCUGAGAGGAUGAUCCGCCACACUGGAACUGGAACACGGACCAGACUCCUACGGGAGGCGGCAGUGAGGAAUAUUGCGCAAUGGGGGAAACCCUGACGCAGCGACGCCGCGUGGAUGAUGAAGGCCUUUGGGUCGUAAAAUCCUGUCAGAUGGAAAGAAAUGCUAUUGGUUUAAUAUGCCUUUAGUUUGACGG